CUUUUUACAUCUUUUUUCUACUUUGAGUUAAAAGGUUCAUAUGAAUACACUUCUUAAAAAAGAUCCUUAUGGCCUUCUCAUUCAUCAUGUUUGGCCUCAUAAAAUAACUUUACAUUUUAUCAUUAUUAACAAGGUGGCUCCCUAUAGAAACAUCUUUUCAUCAGAAAGCUUCUAUUAGAAAAACAUGGGAAAAAUGCUCUUAUUCUGUCUCUUCUCCUUCCCUGUUUUUUUAUUGUUAAGAAAGGAAUAUGCUUGGCAUAUAUAUGGGCCCUCCCACAAGACGAGCUGCAUGAAUGGAGACUUCUGUAUCAUAGUACAGUACAUGGCCUAAGUUUCAGUACUUUCCUGGGAACAUUUCGUUUCGGUCGUUGAAGGGCUUUUGAGAUGCAUUUGAAGGAACACUUGGAAUUCUCACUCUCCAAGUUGGGUAGGUUUUCACUUUUCAAGGGCAAUGCAACUAUCAAGCUAUUGGUUUUUUCCUAGUUAUAAGACUUUUAGUUCUUCCCUUUUCAUUUGUGUACUAAAGAUUGUAUAUCCUAUAUGUGGCUUUAUUGUAAUGACGUAUGGGCUAUGUCAAUUGUUAUACUAUUGUUUAGAUGGUUAUGAGAUGAGACAACCGUUUAAGACUAUAUAUACAGAUAUGUGUGUGUGUGUGUGUGUGUGUGCAAUAAAGGUAGGAGACUAUGUAGUCUUCUUAUAUCAAGGGUCUAUGUAUAGUCGAUAUAAAUAUAUUAUGUGUAAGCGAGAGGUCUAUGUAAACUUUAUAAUAUAUAUAGAAGAAAAGUUUUGAA